GUAUAUAAGGUUUCUAUUUGUCUCCACUGUCUGUGGCAUUGUUUACAUUAGAGUCGGUUCAGCUUACCACAGAGAACAAUGUAAAGUCAUCUAUAAAGUAACUUAUUGAGGACAUUCCAUGUGUUGCAGCCACAAAGGUUACCACAUCCCAGGGUUCUACAACCUUAAAGGGACACUAUAGACACCCAGACCACUUCUGCUAAUUGAAGUGGUCUGGGUACAGUAUCCCUGUCCCACUUAGUCCUUCAAUGUAAAUCAUUGCAGUUUUAGAGAAACUGCAAUGCUU